rnacentral:rRNA from 1 species
AUUGAACGCUGGCGGCAGGCCUAACACAUGCAAGUCGAGCGGCAGCACAGAGGAACUUGUUCCUUGGGUGGCGAGCGGCGGACGGGUGAGUAAUGCCUGGGAAAUUGCCCGGUAGAGGGGGAUAACCAUUGGAAACGAUGGCUAAUACCGCAUAACCUCGCAAGAGCAAAGCAGGGGACCUUCGGGCCUUGCGCUGCCGGAUAUGCCCAGGUGGGAUUAGCUAGUUGGUGAGGUAAGGGCUCACCAAGGCGACGAUCCCUAGCUGGUCUGAGAGGAUGAUCAGCCACACUGGAACUGAGACACGGUCCAGACUCCUACGGGAGGCAGCAGUGGGGAAUAUUGCACAAUGGGCGCAAGCCUGAUGCAGCCAUGCCGCGUGUAUGAAGAAGGCCUUCGGGUUGUAAAGUACUUUCAGUAGGGAGGAAGGUGGUUAAGCUAAUACCUUAAUCAUUUGACGUUACCUACAGAAGAAGCACCGGCUAACUCCGUGCCAGCCGCCGC